rnacentral:rRNA from 1 species
CACAUACCAAGGAAGGCAGCAGGCACUGCAAAUUACCCACUCCCGGCACGGGGAGGUAGUGACAAAAAAUAACGAUACUGGGACUCAUCCGAGGCCCCGUAAUCGGAAUGAGUACACUUUAAAUCCUUUAACAAGGAUCCAUUGGAGGGCAAGUCUGGUGCCAGCAGCCGCGGUAAUUCCAGCUCCAAUAGCGUAUAUUAAAGUUGUUGCGGUUAAAAAGCUCGUAGUUGGUUCUGUGUGCCACGCUGUCGGUUCACCGCCUGCGGUGUAACUGGCAUGUCGUGGGAUGUCCUGUCGGUGGCGGCCGUGCGCUUUGGCGGGGCGUAAGGUCCUUGAGGCCGAAGCCCCGCCGCUGCUCGUCCGGUCGCCUAUCCCAUCCUGCUCCGGUGCUUUUAAACGAGUGUCGAGGCAGGCCGACACGUUUACUUUGAACAAAUUAGAGUGCUCAAAGCAGGCAGAAUUCCGCCUGAAUACUGGUGCAUGGAAUAAUAGAAUAGGACCUCGGUUCUAUUUUGUUGGUUUUCGGAAUCCGAGGUAAUGAUCAAUGUGGACAGGCGGGGGCAUUCGUAUUGCGGCGUUAGACUUGGCAAAUGCUUUCGCGGUGAAAUUCUUGGAUCGUCGCAAGACGGACUAGAGCGAAAGCAUUUGCCAAGUAUGUCUUAGUUGAUCAAGAACGAAAGUUAGAGGUUCGAAGGCGAUCAGAUACCGCCCUAGUUCUAACCAUAAACGAUGCCAGCCAGCGAUCCGCCGGUGUUCCUACGAUGACUCGACGGGCAGCUUAGGGGAAACCAAAGCUUUUGGGUUCCGGGGGAAGUAUGGUUGCAAAGCUGAAACUUAAAGGAAUUGACGGAAGGGCACCACCAGGAGUGGAGCCUGCGGCUUAAUUUGACUCAACACGGGAAACCUCACCAGGCCCGGACAUUGGAAGGAUUGACAGAUUGAUAGCUCUUUCUUGAUUCAGUGGGUAGUGGUGCAUGGCCGUUCUUAGUUGGUGGAACGAUUUGUCUGGUUAAUUCCGAUAACGAACGAGACUCUAGCCUACUAAAUAGGCGCCCGGUAUCCAAAGCUACCGGCGAAGUCAUUUCUUCUU